rnacentral:rRNA from 1 species
UGGGAACGUACCCUUUGGUUCGGAACAACCCAGGAAAACUUGGGCUAAUACCGGAUAAGUCCGUAAGGAGAAAGAUUUAUCGCCAAAGGAUCGGCCCGCGUCUGAUUAGCUAGUUGGUAGGGUAAUGGCCUACCAAGGCUACGAUCAGUAGCUGGUCUGAGAGGAUGAUCAGCCACAUUGGGACUGAGACACGGCCCAAACUCCUACGGGAGGCAG